rnacentral:rRNA from 1 species
UACAGAGGUCUCAAGCGUUGUUCGGAUUCAUUGGGCGUAAAGGGUGCGUAGGUGGCGGGGUAAGUCAGGUGUGAAAUCUCGGGGCUCAACCCCGAAACUGCACUUGAUACUGCCUUGCUCGAGUACUGGAGAGGAGAUUGGAAUUUACGGUGUAGCAGUGAAAUGCGUAGAUAUCGUAAGGAAGACCAGUGACGAAGGCGAAUCUCUGGACAGUUACUGACACUGAGGCACGAAGGCCAGGGGAGCGAACGGG